AUGGUCAGAUGCAAUAAAGCGUUUGACAUAAUUUCACAAUUUGUCGUCAGUUUGCAGCACAUGCCUUCCAGGUUGCGUGGUAGUACCUGGACUGUAGAUUGUUUGCAAUUUAGCACUCAUAUUUCCAACAAUAUCAACUCAAAGUUUUCCCCCUUUGAGAACCAAGCAACUGGCAGCUCCUCCAUAUCCAGACAAGCACCUUCUUCCUCCUCUCUAACCCCAGUACCUUACAGCACCGCGGGGCUUUCUCACUCUGAAUUUACAUACAGAUUUCCAGUCGCCACCGGCCAAAAGUUCAUCCGUUUGUAUUUCAACUCAGCUUCAUUUGGCCCUGACUUUGACCGAUCCAAAGCUCUCUUCUGAGUCAAAGCCGGUGGCUUCACCCUUCUCAAAGACUUCAACUCUUCAGUCACUGCCGAAGCUUCUGGGUCUGAUACAAUAUACAGAGAAUUUUGUCUCAAAGUUGAGUCAGAACAGAGCUUGAACAUCACUUUCAUGCCAAGCAGAGCAACUGCAGAUGCGUAUGCGUUUAUCAAUGGAAUUGAAAUUGUGUCCAUGCCCAACAAUCUUUACUACACCUCUGCUCAAAAUUCAGAUGGAGUUAAUUAUAUAGGCAGCAAAAACACAUUUCAGAUUGAAAACGGCACUGCGCUGGAGAUGGUGUACCGAUUCAACGUCGGUGGAAGAUCACUGGUUCUCAAUCAGGACACUGGUAUGUACCGAAACUGGGAUGGCGAGCAAGAAGAGCACAAGUAGUUAGAUGAUUUAAGAGUCAAGUGUUUUACCGCAAAACAGUAGCAUUAAACUCAACUUUACUGAAAUAGCAAAGUACUCUGCUCCAAAAGAACUUUACCAAACUGGCCGGUCAAUGAGCAGGAACAAGACCAUGAACAAGAGCUAUAAUCUCACCUGGGAGUUCCCUGUUGAUCCCAAGUUUUUGUACCUGCUUAGGCUUUAUUUUUGUGAGUUUGAACUUGAUAUUACCAAGACCAGAGACCGACAGUUUCAAAUCUUCAUCACCAAUCAAACAGUUGAACAAUUUGCGGACAUAAUCAAGUGGAGUCGUGGAAAUUGAAGACCAUUUUAUAAGGAUGACUACGUUGUGUUCAUGCCUGCAGGCCCUGCAAGCCAGAGAAAGUUAAUCUCUUUCUCGCACUGGGAGCAGGCCCAAUAGAUUUAUUUACCAAUUUCAACGAUGCAAUCUUGAAUGGGCUAGAGAUCUUCAAACUCAGUGUCACAAAUCGGAAUCUUGCCUGUCUCAAUCCUGACCCGCCUCCUCUAACCCCUCCAAAGAUGUCUCCCAAAAUUUCGAAGAAGAGUUCGACUUCUCUGAUUGCCAUCGUCGCCGGUGUAGUUUCCGGCGUACUUGUUUUAGUCUUUGUUCUUGGAAUUUUCUUGGGUUUCAGGCGAGGAGGAAAAGUCAAAGACUCAAGCUCCAGCCACGGAACAAAGUGGGGUCCAUUUUCUUUUUCGACGAACAAGUCAACCAAGACUCUUAGUUCGUCUCUACCGUCGGAUCUGUGUCGUAACUUCUCACUGGCUGAGAUCAAAGCCGCCACCCAAGACUUCAAUAGUGUUUUCAUUAUCGGCGUUGGUAGGUUCGGCCACGUGUACAAAGGGAACAUCAACGUUAACAGUGGCACCACCUCCGUUGCAAUCAAACGGCUGAAACUAGAGUCAUCACAAGGGGCCCUCGAGUUCAAGAUGGAGAUCGAGGUGCUUUCGCAGCUCCGCCACAAUCAUUUGGUGCUGCUCAUCGGGUAUUGUACGGAUGAAGGUGAGAUGAUCUUGGUGUAUGAUUACAUGGCACGUGGGACCCUCCGCGACCAUCUCUAUCACACUGAUAAUCCACCUCUUGCAUGGGAUCAAAGGCUUCAGAUUUGUAUUGGUGUGGCACGUGGGCUGCACUAUCUUCACACGGGCGCGAAGUACACAAUCAUUCACAGGGACGUGAAGAGCACGAACAUCUUAUUGGACGAGAAAUGGGUGGCUAAGGUUUCAGAUUUCGGGCUUUCAAAAAUGGGCUCCACCACCGUGUCCAAGACCCAUAUUAGCACGGUGGUGAAGGGUAGUUUCAGGUAUUUGGACCCAGAAUACUAUUGUCGUCAACAACUGACGGAGAAGUCUGAUGUGUACUCAUUUGGGGUAGUGUUGUGUGAGGUAUUGUGCGCGAGGCCAGCUUUGAUUCGUACAGUAGAGAAGAAGCAAAUGAGCUUAGCUGAGUGGACCAAAAUCUGUCAUCAGACUGGAAAAAUUGAUCAGAUCUUUGAUCCGAGCUUGAGGGGUAAGAUUGCAAAUGCGUGUUUGAAUAAGUACGUUGAGAUCGCGGUGAGCUGCCUCCAAGAUAAUGGGAUUGCGCGGCCGUCAAUGAACGAAGUGGUGUGGGGGCUUGAGUUUGCAUUGCAGCUUCAACAAAGCGGAGGAGGAGUUCUGAAUUUGAGCGAGGAGAAAAAGGGUGAAGAUGAGGAGUCGUUAAUAAAUGAUGCAAGUGAUUCAGGGUUUAGUUGUAGCUGGGAAGACUCGUCAUCGGAGUUGAAGGUUAGUAGCGUGACCAAGAGUAGUAGUGAUCACAAUUCAUCAACCAACGAGUCCAUGAAAGGAAUGUCUGGGACAAUCUUCUCUGAGAAUAACGAUCCCAAUGGAAGAUGAUUGCCCAACAAUUUGUAAUGGAAUUCAUGUAUAUGUAUGAUAGUAUAUAUGCUACAAUUUGCAACUCAAUUUGUAACUUUGUUGUUUUCUUAAAUUCCGUGAACUUAAAACUUUCUU